CCUACGGGAGGCAGCAGUGAGGAAUAUUGGUCAAUGGGCGCAAGCCUGAACCAGCCAAGUAGCGUGAAGGAUGACUGCCCUACGAUUUGUAAACUUCUUUUAUAAAGGAAUAAAGUGAGGCACGUGAUCAUUUUUGUAUGUACUUUAUGAAUAAGGAUCGGCUAACUCCGUGCCAGCAGCCGCGGUAAUACGGAGGAUCCGAGCGUUAUCCGGAUUUAUUGGGUUUAAAGGGAGCGUAGAUGGGAUGUUAAGUCAGUUGUGAAAGUUUGCGGCUCAACCUGAAAAUUGCAAUUGAUACUGGCAGACUUGAGUACAGUUGAGGUAGGCGGAAUUCGUGGUGUAGCGGUGAAAUGCUUAGAUAUCACGAAGAACUCCGAUUGCGAAGGCAGCUUACUAAACUGCCACUGACACUGAGGCUCGAAAGUGUGGGUAUCAAACAGGAUUAGAUACCCGGGUAGUC
rnacentral:rRNA from 1 species